rnacentral:rRNA from 1 species
GAUGAACGCUAGCGGCAGGCCUAAUACAUGCAAGCUGAACGGUAAAUAUUGUAGCAAUACGAUAUGAGAGUAGCGUAAGGGUGCGUAACACGUAUGCAAUCUGCCCUGUACAGGAGAAUAGCUCGGCGAAAGCCGGAUUAAUACUCCGUAAUAUUAUUGGAAGGCAUCUUUUGAUAAUUAAAGUCGCAAGACGGUAUGGGAUGAGCAUGCGUCUGAUUAGCUAGUUGGUAGUGUAACGGACUACCAAGGCGAUGAUCAGUAGGGGAACUGAGAGGUUGAUCCCCCACACUGGCACUGAGAUACGGGCCAGACUCCUACGGGAGGCAGCAGUAGGGAAUAUUGGUCAAUGGGUGAGAGCCUGAACCAGCCAUGCCGCGUGCAGGAAGAAGGCCUUCUGGGUUGUAAACUGCUUUUGCCGGGGGAGUAAAAUUCCCAUGCGUGGGACAUUGAAGGUACCCGGUGAAUAAGCCACGGCUAACCACGUG